rnacentral:rRNA from 1 species
AUUGAACGCUGGCGGCAGGCCUAACACAUGCAAGUCGAACGAGUGGCGGACGGGUGAGUAAUGUCUGGGAAACUGCCUGAUGGAGGGGGAUAACUACUGGAAACGGUAGCUAAUCCCGCAUACCAUCAGAUGUGCCCAGAUGGGAUUGGCUUGUGUGUGGGGUAACGGCUCACCAAGGCGACGAACCCUAGCUGGUCUGAGAGGAUGACCAGCCCCACUGGAAAUGAGACACGGGGCAGACUCCGACGGGAGGCAGCAGGGGGGAAUAGUGCACAAUGGGCCCAAGCCUGAUGCAGCCAUGCCGCGUGUAUGAAGAAGGCCUUAGGGUUGUAAAGUACUUUCAGCGGGGAGGCGUUACCCGCAGAAGAAGCACCUGUUAACUCAGUGCCAGCAGCCGCGGUAAUUC